rnacentral:lncRNA from 1 species
AUGGCAUAUUUGCAGCAGAAUGGCAUCCAGAAAUCAUUGUAAUUGUGCCAGUAUUUCAUGCGCUUAUUUAAGAGUAUUUUCUGUUCAAGGAUUUCAAAACACUUCUCUAAUGGUACGGAGAAAAGUCAACAUGGUAGAGAAGUAGGGGGACUCAAAUUUCCCUUGUCUCUCAAACACAGCAAUGUUGAGGCCAGAAGACUUGGAAUUCCAGGAAUGUGGACUACAAAUGACAGAAACAUCUCCAGGGGCCAUGUGGACAACUUGGCAGGCCAUAGAGCAAGAUUGACACUGACCAAACCAGAUGGCCUCUCCUCCAGACCAGUGCAGCCACCGGUUUUCAAGCAAGCUGGGGCAAGUUCAUCUAACACCUCCUUUGAAGACCAGCAGAUGUUUCAUAAAGGGUCUAUACGUGGGAGGUCUAAGUACAGAGCUUGACUGUGAACUUUCAUCAAGAGAAAGCUGAUUACAGGUUGGCAACUGGCCUGUCUGUCGUACAUCAGGAAACAGAAGAGCAGACAAGCUUAGGAUACGUGUGGUUAAGGCAAAAAAGAACUGUUCUCUUCAGCUGGCUGCACAGAAAUACUCAAAAUGUUUUGAACAUCAUGACGAUUCUUUUCACACCAGCACGAUGACUUCUGAUACAGUUGUCAGGACUGUUUGGAAACCGAUAUGAUGAUUCUUCUCUCACCGACAUUAUGAGCCAAUUUAAGGAGGACGUGGAGUCUCCCCUGAACAAAUGCCUUGGUCCCAACAGGGUCUAUUUUUGUUUCUGUUUUUAUUUAUAUGGGAAUAUGUUCUCAGUCCCGAAGGAUGAUGAGAAAGAACUAGCUCCAGGUUUCAACAGUUGCCUUUUUUUUUUGAUAAAAAAUUGGUUGCGUAGAAUUAGGAGAAAUUUUCUCUCAGAAAAAAAUGUAACACUCAUUCAACAUGCUGAUCAACUGGUAUAUCAAAACAUAAAUUUGAUCUUUGUAAAGGACUAUGAAAAAUCAUUAGGUG